GACGAACGCUGGCGGCGUGCUUAACACAUGCAAGUCGAACGGAAAGGCCCUGCUUUUGUGGGGUGCUCGAGUGGCGAACGGGUGAGUAACACGUGAGUAACCUGCCCUUGACUUUGGGAUAACUUCAGGAAACUGGGGCUAAUACCGGAUAGGAGCUCCUGCUGCAUGGUGGGGGUUGGAAAGUUUCGGCGGUUGGGGAUGGACUCGCGGCUUAUCAGCUUGUUGGUGGGGUAGUGGCUUACCAAGGCUUUGACGGGUAGCCGGCCUGAGAGGGUGACCGGCCACAUUGGGACUGCGAUACGGCCCAGACUCCUACGGGAGGCAGCAGUGGGGAAUAUUGCACAAUGGGCGGAAGCCUGAUGCAGCAACGCCGCGUGCGGGAUAACGGCCUUCGGGUUGUAAACCGCUUUCGCCUGUGACGAAGCGUGAGUGACGGUAAUGGGUAAAGAAGCACCGGCUAACUACGUG
rnacentral:rRNA from 1 species